AAGACUAUAGACCUGCGGAGUACCUGCGGAGGGAUCAUUAUAGAGUCUUGAACUCCAAACCACUGUGAACAUACCACUGUUGCUUCGGCGGGUUCCCGGCCCAGGCCGCCCCGCCGGAGGUUGCAAACUCUGUUUUCUAGCGAAUCUUCUGAGUCUUAAAUAAGCAAUCAAAACUUUCAGCAAUGGAUCUCU
rnacentral:misc_RNA from 1 species